rnacentral:ncRNA from 2 species
CACAUCCGCUAGGGGUGUUUUGGCUGACCAGCCAAGACUGAGAAAGUCCCUUUGAACCUGAUUGAGGUAAUCCUCGCGCAGGGAAGCUUGUCUAAACAACG